rnacentral:rRNA from 1 species
AGGACGAACGCUGGCGGCGUGCCUAACACAUGCAAGUGGAGCGACGAACCAGGGCUUGCCCUGGAGCAAAGCCGCGAACGGGUGAGUAACACGUGGGUAACCUGCCCCGAAGAUUGGGACAACCCGAGGAAACUCGGGCUAAUACCGAAUGAAUCCUCUGGACUCAAGUCCAGCGGGAAAAGGAAGCUUCGGCCUCCGCUUCGGGAGGGGCCCGCGGCCCAUUAGCUAGUUGGUGAGGUAACGGCUCACCAAGGCUGCGAUGGGUAGCUGGUCUGAGAGGACGAUCAGCCACACUGGGACUGAGACACGGCCCAGACUCCUACGGGAGGCAGCAGUGGGGAAUCUUGCGCAAUGCGCGAAAGCGUGACGCAGCAACGCCGCGUGGGGGAAGAAGGCCUUCGGGUUGUAAACCCCGUUUCAGGAGGGACGAAGGUGCGACGGUGAAUAGCCGUUCGCACUGACGGUACCUCCAGAAGAAGCCCCGGCUAACUACGUGCCAGCAGCCGC